GGGGGUACCCCUACCUCGGUGGCGGUGCCUCGUCUAUUCUUGUGUUGAUUGCGCUUAACGAUAUAUUAUUCUUUUAUUAUGACGGAUCUUUAAAAAAUUCUGCAAACAGCCCCAACAGAAAAUAAAAAAGGGAUUACACACACACACAUACACAAAAGCAGUCGCUCAUAUGUAUAUAUAUAUAUAUAUAUAGCCUGCUACAAGGCAAGAAAUUUUACAAAUCUCUUUUAAAAGAAAACAAAAAAAAAAAAGAAAGAAAGAAAACAUGAACCAACCGCUAUCAGCAUGGAGCUUACCACUACUACUACGACUAUUGCUACUACUAAAUUAAGUAUUUCGAGUACUUAGCAAUUAUUUGUACUAUUAUUGUUACUACAGCUACUUUCGUCUUCGUCUUUUUAAUAUUUACCACUUUCAGGUGAAGCGAGUCAGACAAAAGGAAGUAGAAGACAGCGUAGGGGAUAAUACCAGGAAUAAUAACAACAGGUGUCUUGAUCUACAAUCAUUAGCAGCAAGUCCAGGUGGUGAUCAGCUGGACGGAACAAACAGUUCUUCUCCAGUUACCAGCAACCAACCAGCACCACCACCAUCCACAGCAACAGCAGCAGCAGCAACAGCGGCUGUUCCUCAACCAAUUGCACACACCUGCUCUGUGAACACGUUGGAUAAUUCUAGCAUCACAGUGUCGAGUACCUUGCACCAAACCACUAACUCUGCUUCGACACAGCUUACACCAAAUGGUACCACAGAUGGUGUUCUUGGUGCCCUCUCAUCAUC